GUAGGGUGCAAGCGUUAAUCGGAAUUACUGGGCGUAAAGCGUGCGCAGGCGGUUGUGCAAGACAGAUGUGAAAUCCCCGGGCUCAACCUGGGAACUGCAUUUGUGACUGCACGGCUGGAGUGCGGCAGAGGGGGAUGGAAUUCCGCGUGUAGCAGUGAAAUGCGUAGAUAUGCGGAGGAACACCGAUGGCGAAGGCAAUCCCCUGGGCCUGCACUGACGCUCAUGCACGAAAGCGUGGGGAGCAAACAGGAUUAGAUACCCUGGUAGUCCACGCCCUAAACGAUGUCAACUGGUUGUUGGGUGGGUUUCUACUCAGUAACGUAGCUAACGCGUGAAGUUGACCGCCUGGGGAGUACGGCCGCAAGGUUGAA
rnacentral:rRNA from 1 species